rnacentral:rRNA from 1 species
GGGGGCCCGCAAGCGGUGGAGCAUGUGGUUCAAUUCGACGCAACGCGAAGAACCUUACCUGGGCUCGAAGCGCAGUGGACCGGGGUAGAAAUAUCCCUUCCCCUUAAAAGGCUGCUGCGGAGGUGCUGCAUGGCUGUCGUCAGCUCGUGUCGUGAGAUGUUGGGUUAAGUCCCGCAACGAGCGCAACCCUUAUCCCUAGUUGCCAUCGGGUCAAGCCGGGCACUCUAGUGAAACUGCCUCGGAUAACGAGGAGGAAGGUGGGGAUGACGUCAAGUCCUCAUGGCCUUUAUGUCCAGGGCUACACACGUACUACAAUGGUCGGUACAAACCGUCGCAAACCCGUGAGGGGGAGCUAAUCGGAAAAAGCCGGCCUCAGUUCGGAUUGGAGUCUGCAACUCGACUCCAUGAAGCUGGAAUCGCUAGUAAUCGCGGAUCAGAACGCCGCGGUGAAUACGUUCCCGGGCCUUGUACACACC